UACGUAGGGUGCGAGCGUUAAUCGGAAUUACUGGGCGUAAAGCGUGCGCAGGCGGUUUUGUAAGACAGGCGUGAAAUCCCCGAGCUCAACUUGGGAAUUGCGCUUGUGACUGCAAGGCUAGAGUGUGUCAGAGGGGGGGUAGAAUUCCACGUGUAGCAGUGAAAUGCGUAGAGAUGUGGAGGAAUACCGAUGGCGAAGGCAGCCCCCUGGGACAUGACUGACGCUCAUGCACGAAAGCGUGGGGAGCAAACAGG
rnacentral:rRNA from 1 species